rnacentral:sRNA from 1 species
GAAUGCAGAAAGAAAUGGAACAGGAUGCGAAGAGAUUUGGUCAGGCUGCCUGGGCCACAGCAAUUCCCAGGUUGGAAAAACUUCAGCUAAUGCUAGCUCGAGAGACUCUGCAACUCAUGAGAGCGAAAGAGUUGUGUUUAAAUCACAAAAGAGCUGAAAUUCAGGGAAAGAUGGAAGAUCUUCCAGAACAAGAAAAAAAUACAAAUGUUAUAGACGAAUUAGAAAUACAAUUUUAUGAAAUUCAAUUAGAACUAUAUGAAGUUAAAUUUGAGAUAUUAAAAAACGAAGAAAUACUGCUUACUACACAGUUGGACUCUCUUAAAAGACUUAUAAAAGAAAAACAAGAUGAAGUUGUCUAUUACGAUCCAUGUGAAAAUCCAGAGGAACUUAAAGUCAUUGACUGUGUGGUGGGGCUGCAGGAUGAUAAGAAUUUGGAAGUGAAAGAACUCAGAAGGCAGUGCCAGCAGCUGGAGUCUAAACGGGGCAGGAUCUGUGCCAAAAGAGCCUCUCUCCGGAGUAGAAAGGUGAUUUGUAUUAUUCCACCAGGAUCAGUGCAAAGAAAAUCAUCGGCUCAGAUUGCAACAGGCUGAAGAAAGCAUAAGAUACUCUCGUCAGCAUCACAGUAUUCAGAUGAAAAGAGACAAGAUAAAAGAAGAGGAGCAAAAGAAAAAAGAAUG